GACGAACGCUGGCGGCGCGCCUAACACAUGCAAGUCGAACGAGCGAGAGAGAGCUUGCUUUCUUGAGCGAGUGGCGAACGGGUGAGUAACGCGUGAGGAACCUGCCUCAAAGAGGGGGACAACAGUUGGAAACGACUGCUAAUACCGCAUAAGCCCACGGUGCCGCAUGGCACAGAGGGAAAAGGAGCAAUCCGCUUUGAGAUGGCCUCGCGUCCGAUUAGCUAGUUGGUGAGGUAACGGCCCACCAAGGCGACGACCGGUACCCGGACUGAGAGGUUGAACCGCCACAUUGACACUGGGACACAGCCCAGACUCCUACGGGAGGCAGGAGUGGGGGAUAUAGCACAAUGGGGGGAACCCUGAUGCAGCGACGCCGCGUAAAGGAAGAAGGUCUUCGGAUUGUAAACUCCUGUUGUUGGGGAAGAUAAUGACGGUACCCAACAAGGAAGUGACGGCUAACUACGUG
rnacentral:rRNA from 1 species